rnacentral:rRNA from 1 species
GAUGAACGCUGGCGGCGUGCCUAAUACAUGCAAGUCGAGCGAACAGAUGAGGAGCUUGCUCCUCUGACGUUAGCGGCGGACGGGUGAGUAACACGUGGAUAACCUACCUAUAAGACUGGGAUAACUUCGGGAAACCGGAGCUAAUACCGGAUAAUAUAUUGAACCGCAUGGUUCAAUAGUGAAAGACGGUUUUGCUGUCACUUAUAGAUGGAUCCGCGCCGCAUUAGCUAGUUGGUAAGGUAACGGCUUACCAAGGCAACGAUGCGUAGCCGACCUGAGAGGGUGAUCGGCCACACUGGAACUGAGACACGCUCCAGACUCCUACGGGAGGCAGCAGUAGGGAAUCUUCCGCAAAGGGCGAAAGCCUGACGGAGCAACGCCGCGUGAGUGAUGAAGGUCUUCGGAUCGUAAAACUCUGUUAUUAGGGAAGAACAAAUGUGUAAGUAACUAUGCACGUCUUGACGGUACCUAAUCAGAAAGCCACGGCUAACUACGUG